AUCCAAACUAAUCCGGUUUAUUCAGAUUCUACAUGCUCAGUGAAUCAGUACUGCUUAAUGGACAAGAUGAUUCCUGUCUGGACUCUGAGUUUUCUGCUCUUGAGUUACACUCUUGGGUUCCCUCUCCACAAUACCACAAGGGGAUUAGACGUGGAGCCUUUUUUGAAUGACACUGUCAAGAACUACACAUUUGUUUUCAUUUCAUCUGGAUGCCGUCUCUUUUCCUGUACUAAACACUAUCUGGAUAACAAGUUGCAGACAGGUGAUGAGAUUGCAGGGAGAUCCACAUGGGACCCUUCUGGGCCCGGGAAAAAAUAACAAAAGCAUUGAAACAGAGAGUUCUUGUCUGUCAUUUUUUAAACCCUCCUAAAAGUUUCACUUUGAUACAGACAUUUUGCAAAUAUCAUCUGUGUUGAGGUUUUUACUGUGACAAAUUCAUUGAUCAUUUUUAUUAGUCAUAAAAAAUAUAACAAUCAUU